rnacentral:rRNA from 1 species
UCGUGGCGUGAGUCGUCUGCUUAAUUGCGAUAACGAGCGAGACUCCGACUGCUAAAUACUUGUUGGUUUCCUCUGACCUUCCAAGUUCUUAGCUGGAUUCGGGACUCCAAGUCCCAAGAAAUGGAGCAAUAACA